AGAGUUUGAUCAUGGCUCAGAUUGAACGCUGGCGGCAGGCCUAACACAUGCAAGUCGAACGGUAACAGGAAGCAGCUUGCUGCUUCGCUGACGAGUGGCGGACGGGUGAGUAAUGUCUGGGAAGCUGCCUGAUGGAGGGGGAUAACUACUGGAAACGGUAGCUAAUACCGCAUAAUGUCGCAAGACCAAAGAGGGGGACCUUCGGGCCUCUUGCCAUCGGAUGUGCCCAGAUGGGAUUAGCUUGUUGGUGGGGUAACGGCUCACCAAGGCGACGAUCCCUAGCUGGUCUGAGAGGAUGACCAGCCACACUGGAACUGAGACACGGUCCAGACUCCUACGGGAGGCAGCAGCGGGGAAUAUUGCACAAUGGGCGCAAGCCUGAUGCAGCCAUGCCGCGUGUAUGAAGAAGGCCUUCGGGUUGUAAAGUACUUUCAGCGGGGAGGAAGGGAGUAAAGUUAAUACCUUUGCUCAUUGACGUUACCCGCAGAAGAAGCACCGGCUAACUCCGUGCCAGCAGCCGCGGUAAUACGGAGGGUGCAAGCGUUAAUCGGAAUUACUGGGCGUAAAGCGCACGCAGGCGGUUUGUUAAGUCAGAUGUGAAAUCCCCGGGCUCAACCUGGGAACUGCAUCUGAUACUGGCAAGCUUGAGUCUCGUAGAGGGGGGUAGAAUUCCAGGUGUAGCGGUGAAAUGCGUAGAGAUCUGGAGGAAUACCGGUGGCGAAGGCGGCCCCCUGGACGAAGACUGACGCUCAGGUGCGAAAGCGUGGGGAGCAAACAGGAUUAGAUACCCUGGUAGUCCACGCCGUAAACGAUGUCGACUUGGAGGUUGUGCCCUUGAGGCGUGGCUUCCGGAGCUAACGCGUUAAGUCGACCGCCUGGGGAGUACGGCCGCAAGGUUAAAACUCAAAUGAAUUGACGGGGGCCCGCACAAGCGGUGGAGCAUGUGGUUUAAUUCGAUGCAACGCGAAGAACCUUACCUGGUCUUGACAUCCACGGAAGUUUUCAGAGAUGAGAAUGUGCCUUCGGGAACCGUGAGACAGGUGCUGCAUGGCUGUCGUCAGCUCGUGUUGUGAAAUGUUGGGUUAAGUCCCGCAACGAGCGCAACCCUUAUCCUUUGUUGCCAGCGGUCCGGCCGGGAACUCAAAGGAGACUGCCAGUGAUAAACUGGAGGAAGGUGGGGAUGACGUCAAGUCAUCAUGGCCCUUACGACCAGGGCUACACACGUGCUACAAUGGCGCAUACAAAGAGAAGCGACCUCGCGAGAGCAAGCGGACCUCAUAAAGUGCGUCGUAGUCCGGAUUGGAGUCUGCAACUCGACUCCAUGAAGUCGGAAUCGCUAGUAAUCGUGGAUCAGAAUGCCACGGUGAAUACGUUCCCGGGCCUUGUACACACCGCCCGUCACACCAUGGGAGUGGGUUGCAAAAGAAGUAGGUAGCUUAACCUUCGGGAGGGCGCUUACCACUUUGUGAUUCAUGACUGGGGUGAAGUCGAAACAAGGUAACCGUAGGGGAACCUGCGGUUG
rnacentral:rRNA from 1 species